GAUGAACGCUGGCGGCGUGCCUAAUACAUGCAAGUCGAGCGAACAGACGAGGAGCUUGCUCCUCUGACGUUAGCGGCGGACGUGUGAGUAACACGUGGAUAACCUACCUAUAAGACUGGGAUAACUUCGGGAAACCGGAGCUAAUACCGGAUAAUAUAUUGAACCGCAUGGUUCAAUAGUGAAAGACGGUUUUGCUGUCACUUAUAGAUGGUUCCGCGCCGCAUUAGCUGAUUGGUAAGGUAACGGCUUACCAAGGCAACGAUGCGUAGCCGACCUGAGAGGGUGAUCGGCCACACUGGAACUGAGACGCGGUCCAGACUCCUACGGGAGGCAGCGGUAGGGAAUCUUCCGCAAUGGGCGAAAGCCUGACGGAACAACGCCGCGUGAGUGAUGAAGGUCUUCGGAUCGUAAAACUCUGUUAUUAGGGAAGAGCAAAUGUGUAAGUAACUAUGCACGUCUUGACGGUACCUAAUCAGAAAGCCACGGCUAACUACGUG
rnacentral:rRNA from 1 species